CACUCCUGCGGGAGGCAGCAGUGGGGAAUUUUACGCAAUGGGGGAAACCCUGACGUAGCGACACCGCGUGAGCGAAGAAGCCCUUUGGGGUGUAAAGCUCUGUCAGCUGGAACGAAAACAAUGACGGUACCAGCAGAGGAAGCAUCGGCUAACUACGUGCCAGCAGCCGCGGUAAGACGUAGGAUGCGAGCGUUGUCCGGAUUUAUUGGGCGUAAAGAGUUCGUAGGUGGUUUGUUAAGUUUGGUGUUAAAGAUCGGGGCUCAACCCUGGGACUGCACUGAAUACUGGCAGACUCGAGUGUGGUAGAGGCUAGUGGAAUUCCCAGUGUAGCGGUGAAAUGCGUAGAUAUUGGGAAGAACACCUGUGGCGUAGGCGACUAGCUGGGCCAUAACUGACGCUGAGGAACGAAAGCCAGGGGAGCGAAUGGGAUUAGAAACCCCGGUAGUCCCA
rnacentral:rRNA from 1 species